UUAAAUUAAAAUUUAAAAUUAUAUAUUUAAUUUUUAAAUUUUAACUCAUAUUUUAAUUAAAAAAAUAAAUUUCAUCCGAAUAAAUAUCCAUUCCGUCCAGAUUCAACUUUCAAUCCGGCCUCCUAGACCGGAUUGAAAAAGAGGUGAUUGGGGGAUUCCCAUUUCACUUGGGAAUCGGAAUCGGAAUGGGACUCCCGCGUACCAAACACCCACAAACGAAUUUACCCAUUCCGAUUCCGAUUCCAGGGUGAAAAAA
rnacentral:lncRNA from 1 species